rnacentral:rRNA from 1 species
AUUGAACGCUGGCGGCAGGCUUAACACAUGCGAGUCGAGCGGAGAUGAGGUGCUUGCACCUUAUCUUAGCGGCGGACGGGUGAGUAAUGCUUAGGAAUCUGCCUAUUAGUGGGGGACAACAUUCCGAAAGGAAUGCUAAUACCGCAUACGUCCUACGGGAGAAAGCAGGGGAUCUUCGGAGCUUGCGCUAAUAGAGGAGCCUAAGUCGGACUAGCUAGUUGGUGGGGUAAAGGACUACCAAGGCGACGAUCUGUAACGGGUCUGAGAGGAUGGUCCGUCACACUGGGACUGAGACACGGCCCAGACUCCUACGGGAGGCAGCAGUGGGGGAUAUUGGACAAUGGGGGGAACCCUGAUCCAGCCAUGCCGCGUGUGUGAAGAAGGCCUUAUGGUUGUAAAGCACUUUAAGCGAGGAGGAGGCUACUGAGACUAAUACUCUUUGAUAGUGGACGUUACUCGCAGAAUAAGCACCGGCUAACUCUGUGCCAGCCGCCGCGGUAACAC